UGGAGGCAAGGAUAAGCCUAGCCUCCACUCCGAUCAAGCCUAUCUGCCGCGAGAAUCUAGAAGAGCAAGGACCCCAAGCUUAUCCUCUCACCCCUAGAGCUUAUCUCUUCGGAAACCUUUUCUAUAAAUUUUCUGUCUCUGAACAAUCAACCCACCUCUGAGCUCUAUCGAGCACCUCUCCUCCUCCUCCUUCCUCUUCUCCGGUGACCAAGGUGUCGCCUCAACCAAGUGUCAUAGCUGAAGCCUCUCCUUCUUCCCUCUAGACCACGGAUGGCCCCGCUUUGAGCUCCGCUACCGUUGGCCACCGAAUCGAGUCGCCCUCGGUUGAGAUCUGACACCUCCGUCGACCGCGGG
rnacentral:lncRNA from 1 species